GACGAACGCUGGCGGCGUGCUUAACACAUGCAAGUCGAACGGAAAGGCCCUGCUUUUGUGGGGUGCUCGAGUGGCGAACGGGUGAGUAACACGUGAGUAACCUGCCCUUGACUUUGGGAUAACUUUAGGAAACUGGGGCUAAUACCGGAUAGGAGCUCCUGCUGCAUGGUGGGGGUUGGAAAGUUUCGGCGGUUGGGGAUGGACUCGCGGCUUAUCAGCUUGUUGGUGGGGUAGUGGCUUACCAAGGCUUUGAAGGGUAGCCGGCCUGAGAGGGUUACCGGCCACAUUGGGACUGCGAUACGGCCCAGACUCCUACGGGCGGCAGCAGUGGGGAGUAUUGCACAAUGGGCGGACGCCUGAUGCAGCAACGCCGCGUGCGGGAUGACGGCCUUCGGGUUGUGAACCGCUUUCGCCUGUGACGAAGCGUGAGUGACGGUAAUGGGUAAAGAAGCACCGGCUAACUACGUG
rnacentral:rRNA from 1 species